UGUUAGUGACACAAACCCCACUGGAAGAACCUAAACCCCAAACGGGGAUGAAUGGCUCAAUCUAGGGGAGGGGCAGAGCCACCUGAUUUGAGGUCUGGGUGUAUCCAGGGCUCAGGUCACAAUCACCAAGGCCUGCUCCACCCCUGGCUCUGCUUCUUCCACGUGGACUCCAGUAUCAAGCAGGCUCUGUCCACUGGUCCCAGGGGAGCAACCUGUGCCAUGCCCCCUCAGGUCACAGGCAAUGAGAAAGGCCAGAGCCUCUCAGCCCGUUUCCUUGCAUCUGAUUGGCUCUGAUGGAGUCACACCCCUAUGCCUGAGCCAAUCACGUGCCCUGGGACAGCCGUGUGUUGAUUGGCUGUGACUCGGUCAUGUGAUCUGUCCCUGGACUGGGGAUGUCCCCGAACCACGUGGACUGAGGCUGGGUGAAGGGCGGUCCUCAGCGGCCUGUUCCAGGCACUGGGGGAAUGGCUGCCGAGUGGUGUCCCUGGGAGAGCAUCAGUUUCCCUGCUUUAGAGAGGAGGGAACCAUGUCAGUGGUGAGGAUGGCUCCGGGGUCACAUAGCACAGCUGUCAGGGUCGCACUGGGAUUUGGACCUGCCUGGAAGGCCGGGACUCUGACUCUGACCGCUGGUUGAACUGUCCUUGGCCUGCCUCUGGCCCUGAGCCGCAGGUCAGCUCUGGAGAUGCCUGGGUGGCAAAGGCGCGCCCCUUAGACCCUCUCCAUUUUACCCACAACCUGACAAUGAGCCCAGCACAGGCAAGGACCCGCAGACAGUGCUAUAAAUCUACCCCUCGAUGGUAAACUGCAAAGCAGCCAUAAAGUCUUCAGGAAACACAUACCGUAUGGCAAUUAAAAUGAUGUUCUCCCUCUCCGUCUCAGGGAUGAGACAUGUGAGGACCAGUGAGAAGUACGCAUCUUUUACAAUGAAUGUCAACAGACUCUUACAAAUGAAUUCACCCCAGACUACCUUGUCAGCUCCUGGGGACACAUUUAAAUCGCCUUCUGUGUCUAGCGACUCUCAGACUUGGAGUUCCCCUGUACCCACCCCAAAAUGUCUCCUCUGCAACCAAGUACAGUGCCAGAUCCCAG
rnacentral:lncRNA from 1 species